UGAGGAAUCUUCGGCAAUGGGCGCAAGCCUGACCGAGCAAUACCGCGUGAAGGAUGACGGCCUUCGGGUUGUAAACUUCUUUUAUAAGUCAGUAUAAUGAACAGCUUAUGAAUAAGCACCGGCUAACUAUGUGCCAGCAGCCGCGGUAAUACAUAGGGUGCAAGCGUUGUCCGGAAUUAUUGGGCGUAAAGAGCUCGUAGGUCGUUUGUUACGUCGGAUGUGAAAACCUGAGGCUCAACCUCAGGCCUGCAUUCGAUACGGGCAAACUAGAGUUUGGUAGGGGAGACUGGAAUUCCUGGUGUAGCGGUGGAAUGCGCAGAUAUCAGGAGGAACACCAAUGGCGAAGGCAGGUCUCUGGGCCAAUACUGACACUGAGGAGCGAAAGUCUGGGGAGCAAACAGG
rnacentral:rRNA from 1 species